rnacentral:rRNA from 1 species
GACGAACGCUGGCGGCGUGCUUAACACAUGCAAGUCACGGGGGCUCGCAAGAGCAACCGGCGAACGGGUGCGUAACACGUGAACAACCUGCCCUUGUGUGGGGGAUAGCCGGGCUAACGCCCGGGUAAUACCGCAUACGGGUCCCUUGGAGGAGUCUCUGGGGGAGAAAGCUCCGGCGACACGAGGAGGGGUUCGCGGCCUAUCAGCUAGUUGGCGGGUAACGGCCA